rnacentral:rRNA from 1 species
UACGGAGGGUGCGAGCGUUGUCCGGAAUCACUGGGCGUAAAGGGCUCGUAGGCGGCCUGUUAAGUCGGGGGUGAAAUCCUGCGGCUUAACCGCAGGGCUGCCUUCUAAACUGUCAGGCUCGAGCACAGUAGAGGCAGGUGGAAUUCCCGGUGUAGCGGUGGAAUGCGUAGAGAUCGGGAAGAACAUCAGUGGCGAAGGCGGCCUGCUGGGAUGUUGCUGACGCUGAGGCGCGACAGCGUGGGGAGCAAACAGG